AGAGAACGCACGCACGCUGUGCCCACUGCCCUGUCCAGCCUGGAGAGAGCUCAGAGAAGGCUCAGGAACAGGCCCAGGCUAGACUUCCUGGCUGACAUUCAACCUGCUGGCUCCUGCCUCACCCUCUUCCUGAAUCGGCUUCAGUCCUUCAUUUGAACUCUGAGUUGCAGCCCCACUGACCUACAGCACAUCCCCUAAAUUUGCCAUGAUCAUUCUUAACCUCUGAGCCUUUUCAUAUUCUGUUUCCUCUGCAGCACCUUUCCUCCACCUACUCCUUGUUCAGCCUACGGUGCACAGUUCAGCUUCAGUGGUACCCCAAGGCCCUUCGCUCUGUGCCUCAAAGGAUCCUGUCCUAUGAUGCCCUAGCUAUCUGUUUACUCAUUUCUUUUCUCAACUGGAGUAUGAGGCCAUGAUGGCAGGGGCCAUGCCAUGUUCACUGUGAUGUUCCAAGUGCCUAAGAAAGUAUUCAUGGCAGAGACUGUCACCAAGACCCAUUCCCUCCUCUUCCUGGGCGCACAGCUGGACUACAUCUCCCAGCUGCCUCUGCUGGGAAGAUAGACACGAGCCACCCAGCUCAUGAACAGAUACACAGCUACGCACUGAUGAAUGCUACGCAGGAGGAGCGGACAUGGCAGUGAGCACGGACAGUGGGCACGACUCGGUUGGGAAGCUUAUGAAAGGAAUCCCUGAGGGGUGACGGACGGAGCCCCCAGCUGAGGGAAAGCCCUGCACGGUGGGAGGUGCUGUUUGUACCUUCCCAGGACACAUGCUUCUUUUACAUGGUAAUCACGCCUGGACUUUCCUUUACGGACUGAGUGUCCUCCAGUGAAGUGCUGGUAAGUAUGUAACAUGCAGCUCUCCAAAAGCACCUGAUCUGUGGCACUGCCAAUUUCUGUGGUGCAAAUCCCCCACCAGUGCCACAUGGAACCAUACUGAGGCCCAAGGCAAAGUGGAAACAGGUGCCCCUAAGUAUUCAUGUUUUGUAUUUUGAAUGGUUAGUUUUAUGGAAAAAAAAAUUGAAUGUGUAAAGUGAGUUUUCUCAUUAAAGUGAGGGUAAAAAAUGUAAUAAAUUCUGGUUUGGGUAUUAAACCAUUGCAGUAUAAGAUUACAGUGUCAGUUUUAAUAUAUCUACUCUUCUAUGUUUCAAUAUUUUUUGAACUACUUUAACAUUUUGGGAGGAUUUAACCAUUAAACCAUUUUGGCCAUAAAAAAAAUAUACACAGACAUGUGAACGGAGAACUCAUUUUUCCUUUUGCUUCAGGUUCCGAUAUGGUUGACACUGUCAGAUCCUGUCAUUUUAGAUUUUGAUAUUCUGUUCAUCAUGGAUUUGGGGAGCACUGAUUUUGGUUUCUUAAAAUAUCCCAUUAAAAUACUGUUGAUCUUGCUCAUGAUCUCAUGUUUUGCUUUAAAAUAUUAAUAAGAGAUGAUAACCUAUUCUUACCGAUUUUAUCGCUUAUUAUGUUUGAGGAUGUUCAACACCAUAGGAAACAGUAGAAAUAUAAUAAUGUAUAUUUUAAGGGAAAAACCAUAGGCAGAAAUACAAGCUUUGUCCGUUUUCUCAUUGAAGAUUAUUGCUUUAUAAAAUCUGUUCCAUGAAACAAGUUCUCCGAAGAUUUUUAAGUCAUAAGAAAACUCCUCUACUGAAAUGUUAUAAAUAUAUUUGAUAUUAAACUAUACUUUAAUGAGAACACACACUAUUGGACUUUACUCCUGAGCUUUUUGGUGCCCCCUAAAAUUCCAUGCCCGAGGUCAGAGCCUCCCAUGUCCCACCCUGAUCUGGGUCCUACUUCCAAACUUCCAGGACUGCUAAGGCUCCUGAGGUGGACACUGCAUUUCUAGUGCCUCAGAGCCUGGGUGUCCAGCUUGGCCUGACAGCACGGGGGAAACAGGAGCGUGUCCUAAAGGACAAGAGGUGGCAGGUGCCCCUGGG